rnacentral:rRNA from 1 species
AUUGAACGCUGGCGGCAGGCAUAACACAUGCAAUUCGAGCGGAGAUGAGGUGCUUGCACCUUAUCUUAGCGGCGGACGGGUGAGUAAUGCUUAGGAAUCUGCCUAUUAGUGGGGGACAACAUUCCGAACGGAAUGCUAAUACCGCAUACGUCCUACGGGACAAAGCAGGGGAUCACUUCUUACCUUGCGCUAAUAGAUUACCCUAAGUCGGAUUAGCUAGUUGGUGGGGUAAAGGACUACCAAGGCGACGAUCUGUAGCGGGUCUGAGAGGAUGAUCCGCCACACUGGGACUGAGACACGGCCCAGACUCCUACGGGAGGCAGCAGUGGGGAAUAUUGGACAAUGGGGGGAACCCUGAUCCAGCCAUGCCGCGUGUGUGAAGAAGGCCUUAUGGUUGUAAAGCACUUUAAGCGAGGAGGAGGCUCUUUUGGUUAAUACCCAAGAUGAGUGGACGUUACUCGCAGAAUAAGCACCGGCUAACUCUGUGCCAGCCGCCGCCGUAACAC